rnacentral:rRNA from 1 species
AGUGGCGCACGGGUGAGUAACGCGUAUGCAACCUACCUCUUACAGGGGGAUAGCCCGGAGAAAUCCGGAUUAAUAUCCCAUGGUAUUUAUUGUCCGCAUGGAUAGUAAAUUAAAGAUUUAUCGGUAAGAGAUGGGCAUGCGUGACAUUAGUUUGUUGGUGAGGUAACGGCUCACCAAGACUACGAUGUCUAGGGGUUCUGAGAGGAUGAUCCCCCACACUGGUACUGAGACACGGACCAGACUCCUACGGGAGGCAGCAGUGAGGAAUAUUGGUCAAUGGGCGCAAGCCUGAACCAGCCAUCCCGCGUGAAGGAAGACGGCCCUAUGGGUUGUAAACUUCUUUUCUGCACCAAGAAUGGGCCUUACGUGUAAGGUUUUGACGGUAGUGCAGGAAUAAGCAUCGGCUAACUCCGUGCCAGCAGCCGCGGUAAUACGGAGGAUGCAAGCGUUAUCCGGAUUCAUUGGGUUUAAAGGGUACGUAGGUGGCCCAGUAAGUCAGUGGUGAAAUCCUGCCGCUUAACGGUAGAACUGCCAUUGAUACUGCUGGGCUUGAGUACAGUUGAGGUAGGCGGAAUGUGUAGUGUAGCGGUGAAAUGCUUAGAUAUUACACAGAACCCCGAUUGCGAAGGCAGCUUACUAAACUGUAACUGACACUGAGGUACGAAAGCGUGGGGAGCGAACAGGAUUAGAUACCCUGGUAGUCCACGCCGUAAACGAUGCUCACUCGCUGUAUGCGAUACACAGUAUGCGGCCAAGCGAAAGUAUUAAGUGAGCCACCUGGGGAGUACGUUGGCAACAGUGAAACUCAAAGGAAUUGACGGGGGCCCGCACAAGCGGAGGAACAUGUGGUUUAAUUCGAUGAUACGCGAGGAACCUU